rnacentral:rRNA from 1 species
GACGAACGCUGGCGGCGUGCCUAACACAUGCAAGUCGAGCGGAGAUGAUGUGAGGAAGUUUUCGGAUGGAAUCACAUUAUUUUAGCGGCGGACGGGUGAGUAACGCGUGAGCGACCAACCUUGCACAGGGGGAUAACGGACCGAAAGGUUCACUAAUACCGCAUGAGACCACGGUGUUGCAUGACACAGAGGUCAAAGGAGCAAUCCGGUGCAAGACGGGCUCGCGUCCGAUUAGGUAGUUGGAGGGGUAACGGCCCGCCAAGCCUAUGAUCGGUAGCCGACCUGAGAGGGUGAUCGGCCACAUUGGAACUGAGAUACGGUCCAAACUCCUACGGGAGGCAGCAGUGGGGAAUAUUGGGCAAUGGGGGAAACCCUGACCCAGCAACGCCGCGUGAAGGAAGAAGGUUUUCGGAUUGUAAACUUCUGUCCUUGGUGAAGAGAAGAAGACGGUAGCCAAGGAGGAAGCCCCGGCUAACUACGUGCCAGCAGCCGCGGUAAACGUAGCGUG